UGCGUAGGCGGAGCGUUAAGUCAGUGGUGAAAUCCUGCAGCUCAACUGUAGAAUUGCCAUUGAUACUGGCACUCUUGAGUGCGCCUGAAGUAGGCGGAAUGUGCCGUGUAGCGGUGAAAUGCUUAGAUAUGGCACAGAACACCAAUUGCGAAGGCAGCUUACUAAGGCGAUAUGACGCUGAGCACGAAAGCGUGGGGAUCGAACA
rnacentral:rRNA from 1 species